AGUGUUGUCGUAACCGUGGUAGGGGGAGGGUGUGUUCCGCGUCGCUCUGUACCGUGUCACUGGUUCCGUUGAGAGAAACUUUUAGAAAACGGAGGGCUGUGUAAUGAGGGACUGAUGAAAGACGAAACAAUGGCAAACUGACCGAUAAAAAGUGGAAAUACUGAGAAAAAAAUACAAUUACUGACUCAUACCUAUUGAAUUACGACGAGAAGUGAACGAAAUGAAAAGAGAAGGAAGGAAAAACAAAAACAAUGGAAGGAGGACGAAGAGAAAUGAAAAAAAUGGAGAAAUAAAGAGAAAAUAAAAGUGAAUGAAACAAAAG